rnacentral:rRNA from 1 species
UAGGGAAUCUUCGGCAAUGGACGAAAGUCUGACCGAGCAACGCCGCGUGAGUGAAGAAGGUUUUCGGAUCGUAAAACUCUGUUGUUAGAGAAGAACAAGGACGUUAGUAACUGAACGUCCCCUGACGGUAUCUAACCAGAAAGACACGGCUAACUACGUGCCAGCAGCCGCGGUAAUACGUAGGUGGCAAGCGUUGUCCGGAUUUAUUGGGCGUAAAGCGAGCGCAGGCGGUUUCUUAAGUCUGAUGUGAAAGCCCCCGGCUCAACCGGGGAGGGUCAUUGGAAACUGGUGGACUUGUGUGCAGGAGCGGUAUGUGGAAUUCCAUAUGUAGCGGUGAAAUGCGUAGAUAUAUGGGGGAACACCAGUGGCGAAGGCCGCUCUCUGGUCUGUAACUGACGCGGAGGCUCGAAAGCGUGGGGAGCAAACAGG